rnacentral:sRNA from 1 species
ACGUUCGGCUUUUGUAGCUGUGGCCCCAGACUCGUGCCUGGUCGCUGGCAAAGGACACAAAACGUUUUCGUGCGCUGCGCUGACAACAUCCUCGCAGGACCAAUAAGCGGACGAUUUAACAGCUCGUGCAAGUUCAAUGUAAAUGCGAAAAUGUAAACAAAAGCAACGCACGCGCAGCAGCAACAGCAACAACAGCAACGAGAACAACAACAAGAAAAACACCAAUAGCAGCUAUAAUAUACACUCUGCCAUAAACUGGAUCUGACUGCCUUCCAGCUGGGGACCGUUGUCGUAUCCCUUCCAGUGGGCCUGCAGCACACGGCUAGCGUCGCUGGCAGCGCCACAACAACGUCAGUAGUGGUGUCCUGCUAGUCGUGCUGUGUCCUGACGCGCGCGCUACACUGGCAAAACUCAGGGAAAUUUUUCCACAAGCACACACAUACACACACGCACACAUACGCACACAACAGAGCGUUGCUUUACCUUUGCCAAAAAUAAAGAAAACACAUACCUUCACAUGGCCUGGCCAAGAGCCG